GAUGUUUUGUUUUGUUUUCUCAGAUUUAAGGAAAUCUUUUCUCUUACGCUGACUAUGACUUACAGCAAUUUAGUGAUAGUAUACCUUUAUGAGCAAAACUGAAACAUUUAUCUUUUUCUCCCUACCUGAUCCCUCCAGAAUUUGGAAACCUAGUAAGUGACUUUGACUGGAAUGUCAUAUUUGAGAGAAACAUACAGACUCAGAUAUGACAAUACUGCCUUUGAGGAAGAAGGUUGACUUUCUGGAAAUAAAGCCACUUGGAAAUAUGGGCCUGGUACCUUGUUUACAGAGAUUCUGGCAAUCUUACCUG
rnacentral:lncRNA from 1 species